GGACUGUUAUUCUGUCUUGGAAAUGGCAGAGGACUACUAAUGUGAAAAAUACACAGGACUCAAAUAUGAUUGGAAGACAAGAGACGGAAGUGAGGUUGAGUUGAGCGACUGCAUCACUGAUGAUUCCGCCCAUUUUUGUCGCAUCCGCAUUUCGGUUGGUCAUGCCAUGAACCCCUGGAGUCUGGACGGGUACGCCAAGUUUGAACAUGAACGACUCUGAUUUGAGUCAAUGCAUUGUAUUUUUCAUCAAACGAAACUGGCCCUAGGUCGCUGCAAUUAGGUACCUUGAUUUUCAGCUCGAUAGAAGCACGGGGUCAAAUAUUAUGGCAGUACAUAACAGGGCGCAGACAGAAUGAUCUAGCCCUCUUGCGGCAAUUGAUUAUACCAUAAUAAGAGCUGGCUCACUCAUUCUCUAUUACGAGUUCCCCAGUGAGCUUUGAUCGAGCUUCAAAUCAAAUGGCGUAAUUGUAGCGUCCUGAGACCCCUAUCAAUUGAUGAAGAAUUUAAUAUAUUGACUCAAGUCGGAGUUGCUCAUUCUCAAUUUUAGUGUCACAGUCCAGAUUCCAGGCGUUCGUGGUCAUGCAUACUGGCAAUUUGUUGGGAUGUUUGGGCAACUCAAAUGCUCACUCAUCCGUCUAAUUGAGGAUGCAUUUGACGCACAUCUCCAUCAUUUCAAUGUGAAUAUAUGUACUAUGUACUAUCUGGCCUGUCUCUACGUGUUUCGCACACCUGCAGCCUAACUAAGCCAGUGCAAACUUCUUACAUUGGCCUCGUCCUUGAACUUCCUCUCAUAUGAAUUGAAACCAAUCUUCUUUAUUCAGACCUCACGUUCCUGAUUUUUUAAGAGUCUUGCGCUUUGGUUUUUGGAAUACGAAAUGGCUUGUACGCUUCUUUUUUUCAAGAGCAGAGAUUGACGAAAGACCGAGUGUGAUUCAUUCAAGUCUUCCCUGAAGCAAAGACGACAGAAAAUCUCCGCUUGAGUAUGCGAACCAAUAUACUUUGAUUCCUUGGCCGGUUGUCAAAAAAG